CCAGACUCCUACGGGAGGCAGCAGUGGGGGAUAUUGCACAAUGGGGGAAACCCUGAUGCAGCGACGCCGCGUGAGUGAAGAAGUAUUUCGGUAUGUAAAGCUCUAUCAGCAGGGAAGAAGAUGACAGUACCUGAGUAAGAAGCCCCGGCUAACUACGUGCCAGCAGCCGCGGUAAUACGUAGGGGGCAAGCGUUAUCCGGAUUUACUGGGUGUAAAGGGAGCGUAGACGGUUAUGUAAGUCUGGAGUGAAAGCCCGGGGCCCAACCCCGGGACUGCUCUGGAAACUGCGGCGCUGGAGUACGGGAGGGGCAGGCGGAAUUCCUGGUGUAGCGGUGAAAUGCGUAGAUAUCAGGAGGAACACCGGUGGCGAAGGCGGCCUGCUGGACUGCAACUGACGUUGAGGCCCGAAAGCGUGGGGAGCAAACAGGAUUAGAUACCCUGGUA
rnacentral:rRNA from 1 species